rnacentral:rRNA from 1 species
CCUACGGGUGGCAGCAGUGAGGAAUAUUGGUCAAUGGACGAGAGUCUGAACCAGCCAAGUAGCGUGAAGGAUGACUGCCCUAUGGGUUGUAAACUUCUUUUAUAUGGGAAUAAAAUGUUCCACGUGUGGGAUUUUGUAUGUACCAUAUGAAUAAGGAUCGGCUAACUCCGUGCCAGCAGCCGCGGUAAUACGGAGGAUCCGAGCGUUAUCCGGAUUUAUUGGGUUUAAAGGGAGCGUAGGUGGAUUGUAAAGUCAGUUGUGAAAGUUUGCGGCUCAACCGUAAAAUUGCAGUUGAAACUGGCAGUCUUGAGUACAGUAGAGGUGGGCGGAAUUCGUGGUGUAGCGGUGAAAUGCUUAGAUAUCACGAAGAACUCCGAUUGCGAAGGCAGUUCACUGGACUGCAACUGACACUGAGGCUCGAAAGUGUGGGUAUCAAACAGGAUUAGAUACCCGUGUAGUC